ACCUACGGGAGGCAGCAGUGGGGAAUAUUGCACAAUGGGGGAAACCCUGAUGCAGCAACGCCGCGUGAGUGAAGAAGUAUUUCGGUAUGUAAAGCUCUAUCAGCAGGGAAGAAGAAAGACGGUACCUGACUAAGAAGCCCCGGCUAACUACGUGCCAGCAGCCGCGGUAAUACGUAGGGGGCAAGCGUUAUCCGGAUUUACUGGGUGUAAAGGGAGCGUAGACGGCAUAGCAAGUCUGAAGUGAAAGCCCGUGGCCCAACCCCGGAACUGCUUUGGAAACUGUGCAGCUCGAGUGCAGGAGAGGU
rnacentral:rRNA from 1 species